AGAAUCAACGCUGGCGGCGUGCCUAACACAUGCAAGUCGCACGAGAAAGGGACUUCGGUCCUGAGUACAGUGGCGCACGGGUGAGUAACACGUGAAUCAUCUACCUCCGAGUGGGGAAUAACCUAGAGAAAUCUGGGCUAAUACCGCAUAACACUUACGAGUCAAAGCAGCAAUGCGCUUGGAGAGGAGUUCGCGGCAGAUUAGUUAGUUGGCGGGGUAAUGGCCCACCAAGACGAUGAUCUGUAUCCGGCCUGAGAGGGCGCACGGACACACUGGAACUGAAACACGGUCCAGACUCCUACGGGAGGCAGCAGUGGGGAAUUUUGCGCAAUGGGGGAAACCCUGACGCAGCAACGCCGCGUGGAGGAUGAAAUAUCUUGGUAUGUAAACUCCUUUCGAUGGGGAAGAUAAUGACGGUACCCAUAGAAGAAGCCCCGGCUAACUUCGUGCCAGCAGCCGC
rnacentral:rRNA from 1 species